CCUACGGGAGGCAGCAGUGAGGAAUAUUGGUCAAUGGACGAGAGUCUGAACCAGCCAAGUAGCGUGAAGGAUGACUGCCCUAUGGGUUGUAAACUUCUUUUAUAUGGGAAUAAAACGUUCCACGUGUGGGAUUUUGUAUGUACCAUAUGAAUAAGGAUCGGCUAACUCCGUGCCAGCAGCCGCGGUAAUACGGAGGGUCCGAGCGUUAUCCGGAUUUAUUGGGUUUAAAGGGAGCGUAGGUGGAUUGUUAAGUCAGUUGUGAAAGUUUGCGGCUCAACCGUAAAAUUGCAGUUGAAACUGGCAGUCUUGAGUACAGUAGAGGUGGGCGGAAUUCGUGGUGUAGCGGUGAAAUGCUUAGAUAUCACGAAGAACUCCGAUUGCGAAGGCAGUUCACUGGACUGCAACUGACACUGAGGCUCGAAAGUGUGGGUAUCAAACAGGAUUAGAUACCCUAGUAGUC
rnacentral:rRNA from 1 species